rnacentral:rRNA from 1 species
GACAGAGGGUGCAAACGUUGUUCGGAAUUACUGGGCAUAAAGAGCACGUAGGUGGUCUGCUAAGUCGUGUGUGAAAUCCCCCCGGCUCAACCCGGGGGAAUAGCGCUCGAUACUGGCAGGCUCGAGGUGGGUAGGGGUGAGCGGAACUCCAGGUGGAGCGGUGAAAUGCGUAGAUAUCUGGAGGAACACCGGUGGCGAAAGCGGCUCACUGGGACCCAAUCUGACACUGAGGUGCGAAAGCUAGGGUAGCAAACGGG